UACGUAGGGGGCAAGCGUUGUCCGGAUUUAUUGGGCGUAAAGAGCGUGUAGGCGGUUCGGUAGGUCCGUUGUGAAAACUCGAGCUCAACCUCGAGACGCCGAUGGAAACCCCCGAACUAGAGUCCGGAAGAGGAGAGUGGAAUUCCUGGUGUAGCGGUGAAAUGCGCAGAUAUCAGGAAGAACACCCGUGGCUAAGGCGGCUCUCUGGGACGGUACUGACGCUGAGACGCGAAAGCGUGGGGAGCGAACAGG
rnacentral:rRNA from 1 species